CAUGAGUGGCGGACGGGUGAGUAACGCGUGGGCAACCUGGCCUGUACAGGGGGAUAACACUUAGAAAUAGGUGCUAAUACCGCAUAACGGGGGAAGCCGCAUGGCUUUUCCCUGAAAACUCCGGUGGUACAGGAUGGGCCCGCGUCUGAUUAGCCAGUUGGCAGGGUAACGGCCUACCAAAGCGACGAUCAGUAGCCGGCCUGAGAGGGCGGACGGCCACACUGGGACUGAGGCACGGCCCAGACUCCUACGGAAGGCAGCAG
rnacentral:rRNA from 1 species